GGGACAAUAGAACAAUAUAAAGCUCGUCUGGUUGCUAAAAGAUACACAGACCUAUGGGAUAGAUUACUUGGAGACUCUCGCACCAGUGGCAAAAUUGAAUACGAUUCGCGCCCUUUUAUCUCUAGCCGCAAAUUUGGAUUGACCCCUCCAACAAAUGGAUAUUAAGAAUGCCUUCUUGAAUGGAGAAUUAGAAGAAGAAGUCUUCAUGACAAUGCCACCUGGCUUCAAUAAAGGAAAUGAAGAUAACUGGGUAUGUAAACUUAAGAAAUCACUAUAUAGUCUUAAGCAGUCACCAAGAGCUUGAUUUGAUAGAUUUGCUAAAGUAUUGAAGAAUCAAGGGUAUCAACAAGGGCAGUCAGAUCACACCAUGUUCUUUUAGAUAUCUGGAGACGGGAGAGUAACAAUUCUAAUCGUAUAUGUAGACGAUAUAAUUCUUACUGGAAACAAUUUAACUGAGAUGAACAGACUGAAAGAAAGCUUAGCAUCUGAGUUUGAAGUGAAAGAUUUGGGACCCAUAUGAUACUUCUAAGGUAUGGAGAUCGUAAGAUCAAAAAAGGGCAUCAGUGUCUCACAACGGAAAUACAUUCUUGAUCUUUUGACUGAAACUGGCAUGCUUGGUUGCAAACCAAGCGAGACACCCAUUGAUAGUGGAAGCAGGAUAGUGGAUACAGGAAUCCAGUUGAGAGAGACAGGUACCAACGACUAGUUGGUAAGUUAAUAUAUUUAUCACACACUAGACCCGACAUUGCUUUUGCAGUUAGUGUGGUAAGUCAACACAUGCACUCUCCGAGAGAAACUCACCAAGAAAUAGUAUAUAAAAUUCUCAAAUAUCUAAAAGGUACUUCCGGCAAGGGGCUAUUCUUCAGAAAGAGUGAAAGGAAGGGAAUAGAAAUAUUCACAGAUGCUGAUUUGGUUGGGUCAGUAGAAGAAGAAAGUCAACAUCUGGUUACUGUACCUUCGUGUAGGAAAAUCUUGUAACAUGGAGAAGCAAAAAGUAGAAUGUAGUGGCAAGAAGUAGCACAGAAGCAAAAUUCAGAGCAGCUGCACAGGAAAUAUGUGAAGGAUUAUGGUUAAAGAAACUCCUAGAGGAAUUGAAGAUUGAAGUAAGAUUGCCUAUGAAACUCUAUUGUGAUAAUAAAGUAGCCAUUAUCAUUUCACUCAACCCGGUUCAAUGUGAUAGCACUAAGCAUGUAGAAAUUGAUAGACAUUUCAUUAAAGAAAAGGUUGACGAUGGAGUUAUCUGCAUGGUGUAUGUACCCACAAAUCAGCAAACUAUAGAUAUCUUUACCAAAGGAUCGCCUCAACAAAGCUUCAACAACUGUAUCUUUAAGUUGGCCAUGAUCAAUAUUUACAAUCCAACUUCAGGGGAAGUAUAAGAAAUCGUGAGUUAUGGAAAGACAUCUAAAUCUUUCCAUAAUAAAGAAGAUUGAUAGGCUAAUAUUAUUCUCUUAAAUUAAGAGAUUAUUUUUUCCUUUUCUUAUUAUUUUCCUUUCUUAGUUGUAUGAUUGUAAUAUAAAGAGGUGUGUAGUGGCAUGUAUAAUUGGAUAUAUGAAAAAACGUGAAUUCCUUUCUCAAUUUUCAUAUAAUGACUA
rnacentral:lncRNA from 1 species